AUGACAGUGGGUGGCUUGGGGAGGAAGAUGGCAUGGCCAUUUUCGCUGGUUGAAGAGGCCUGAUGAGAUGCGGAGAAGGUCACGAUUUGUGGCACAAAAGGUGGACCAUGGACACACGAUUCACAUGGGCUUUAUAUUGAAGACAUCUUAAUAUGGAGGGAUGAGCUGGGAAAGACAGGAGUGAAAGAAUGGAGCUGGCUAACUUCUCUCCAACUAUUCAAAGAAAGUGAUUCUUUUUCCAUGGAUUAGCGGGUAUACGGAAGAUACCAAGAUGACCCAGAACAGGAGUGACUUUAGAAGGAGAGUUGAAUUUCUGUGUUCUUUCUAUAUUUGCUGGAAGUAUAAAAAAGAGAAAUGCCCUAAAUAUAUAUACAUAUAUACAUACAAUUAUUUUCUUAAUGGCUCAAAAAGUAUGUAGAUGGAAUACUUGGCUUU
rnacentral:lncRNA from 1 species